rnacentral:lncRNA from 1 species
CUCCCCUUGCGUCUGCCGGGCUGAGGGACCAGCUGAAGGGCACGCGGGCGGGGGAGGCGGAGGGAGGCAGAGGCCGUCUGAGGACAGGCGCGGCGGCGCGGCGGCGCGGCCCCGGGAGGAGCACGGCGGGCGCGUGCGAAGAGCCGGCUCGGGCGUUUCUGAGCGCGGCCGAGGCCGGGGAAGUUCCUGCGCAGUGAGAAGCCGCACACGCUGCGGCUGUGCUGCGGUGAGGGGACCCAGGAAGUUCGAGCCCGGCCAGGGCCGCCUCCCGCCGGGGGGAGAAUCUUACAUCAAUUAACAGCCACCCCGCGCCCUCCUGGGUCCGUGCCGAGAGUAAACAGCACGCCGAGCGGGUUAUGACCUGCUGAGAUGCAGGGGUGUGCUGGGGAGUCAUUCAAACUUAGGAAACGUCCCACCCGCAUUUCCACCGACCGGUUAGGAAAUGAGUGUUGAUGCAGCCACUGUUAGGUGAAGAAGCUUGUUCCCAAGAGGAAGCCAUUAAUGUCUGUGAGCCAAGAGGGACCAGCUUUGAAAUAUGGUUGGUGGGGAAAGGACUGGACAGGACCCCGGCGUGUUUAUAACUAACAUGACUUACAUGCGAAUGCUUUCGAGUCCCAAGUUUAGGAGACAGGGAUAAAAUUCUAAAUGACGGUGACACCUCGGACAAGGGAGACUACAAAAACCUGAUACUACGGUACUUGGCACACAAUAGACCAUUAAUAAAUAUUUUUGAAUGAAAAAUGAGAUAGUAAAAAGAGCUAACAAAUAUUGAAUAGAGAAAAAUUGCCUUGAAAUCAUAACUAUGCGAAUUGGAAGGGACGUUAAGGAUUAUUGAAUUAGAUAUUUGUAGCUGAAUUUCUCAGGCAUUUCUGUCAUUGGGAAAAGCCCCAGGCAGAGAAUCGCUGAUCUGUUCUAACGUCCUUUUAUAAUUGACAAAAGCGAGUGACUUGCCUGCAGUCUCACGGAUCUGAGCUCGAGCUAAAGUUUAAGUUUCUUGAUUCUGUAUCCAGUGCUUUUUCUACCACACCACUGCUUGGCACAUAUUUUGCAGGAAAAGAAACACCUGGAAAUCAGAGUUGACCAUAAAGACUGAAGAGCACCUAGAGAGUUAGGAGAGAAGACUAGGAGAAUAUUAUCGCAAAAGAAAAGGGGGAGAGAAUUUCAGAAAGAAAAUAUCUUGAAGAAAGACACUCAGCUCCAUGGCGGCAGUAGUUGGCGGUGACUGUGGGACUCCCUCUGCCUUCCUUCUUUGCAGAGCUGAAGGGGAAAGGAAACGUCUGGAUGGAAAGCAUCACCCAGGGAGGGUAGAUUUUGAAGGGGGAGUGCAUGGUUGGUGCUGGGAAGGAAAGCCAGGAGAGAAGAAGAAUGUCCUUAUUUUCAGGAGACACAUGCUAAGGUUUUAAAGAUGAAGCAUUAUGUUGUCAGCACUUGCUUUGAAAGAUUCAGCAAAAAAAUAAAAAGAGGAAGAGAGAGAUGGAGAUUAAUGAAGCAAAUACCAUCAUAAAUAAUUGUUGAAUCUACGUAAUGGUGUGUCUAUGAGAAUUCAUUGUACUAGUCUUUCAACUUUUCUGUAUUCUUGAAAUUUUU